rnacentral:rRNA from 1 species
UACGUAGGCAGCAAGCGUUGUUCGGAAUUACUGGGCGUAAAGAGUGUGUAGGCGGUGUCGUAAGUUUGGCGUGAAAUCUCCCGGCUUAACUGGGAGGGUGCGCCGAAGACUGCGGUGCUUGAGGAUCGGAGAGGAAAGUGGAAUUUCUGGUGUAGCGGUGAAAUGCGUAGAUAUCAGAAGGAACACCUGUGGCGAAGGCGGCUUUCUGGACAGUAACUGACGCUGAGGCGCGAAAGCUAGGGGAGCAAACAGG